rnacentral:lncRNA from 1 species
AAACCUUUUCUCUUAGGAUUUGGUGCUAUGGAGAAAUUUUUGGUAGAAUAUAAGAGUGCAGUGGAGAAGAAACUGGCAGAGUACAAAUGUAACACCAACACAGCAAUUGAACUAAAAUUAGGGUCUGGCUCUGUUGCCCAGGCUGGAGUGCAGUGGUGUGAUCUCGGCUCAUUGCAACCUCUGCCUCCCAGGCUCAAGUGAUCCUUCCACCUCAGCCUCCUGAGUAGCUGGGACUACAGAUGUGUGCCACCACGCCCAGUGAAUUUUUGUAUUUUUUGUAGAGAUGGGGUUUUGCCGUGUUGCCCAAGCUGGUCUUGAACUCUUAUGUAUUUA